GCCUUCGUGAUGUAACGGUAGCACAUACGGCUCGUAUCUGAGAGAUCCAGGUUUGAGUCCCGGCGAGGGCA
rnacentral:tRNA from 1 species